GUCAAGUGCACUAAUGGCUCCAGAUCUACCACUCACAACAGGGAAUGAUGAGUUAUUUGAAGACACCUAGAUGUAUACACGAUUAAUUGGCCAACUGAACCAUCUUACAAUUUAGCGUUAUAAGCCAACUUAUGGCCUGAGAUAUAUUUUAUGUUACUUGAAACGUAGCCUACGCUAGAAAUCAUCGACUUUCAGAGGUUGACAAAAGAUUGACAACAGUAUAUGUUUCUUUGAAAGAAUUUGGCACCAUGAAGAAGCAUGGUAUAGCUCGUCAAUCUAGUAUUGAAUCAAAAUAGAGUUACAACACUAUUCAUAUAUGAUGCAAUGCGGAUAUAUCAGUUAUUAGAUAAAGUUGAUCAAAAUAAGCAUUAUUAACAUCUAAGGUCCAGCUUGAGAACGAUUCAACAAAAAAAUCAUCUCAACAUAACACAUGAAGACUAAAAAAAAAAAGUCAAUAAAUACCUUUAAAAAAGCUCUGAAUCACUCUAUAAUCACUAAAUUUGUGACAAAAUAAGCAUUAUUAACAUCUA
rnacentral:misc_RNA from 1 species